rnacentral:snRNA from 1 species
UUAUGAGACCGAAACCGAGGU